rnacentral:rRNA from 1 species
GAGUUUGAUCCUGGCUCAGAUUGAACGCUGGCGACAGGCCUAACACAUGCAAGUCGAGCGGUAACAGAACUAGCUUGCUAGUUGCUGACGAGCGGCGGACGGGUGCGUAACACGUAGGAAUCUGCCCAGUAGUGGGGGAUAGCCCGGAGAAAUUCGGAUUAAUACCGCAUACGCCCUAAGGGGGAAAGCAGGGGAUCUUCGGACCUUGCGCUACUGGAUGAGCCUGCGUCGGAUUAGCUUGUUGGUGGGGUAAAGGCCUACCAAGGCAACGAUCCGUAGCUGAUCUGAGAGGAUGAUCAGCCACACUGGGACUGAGACACGGCCCAGACUCCUACGGGAGGCAGCAGUGGGGAAUAUUGCACAAUGGGCGAAAGCCUGAUGCAGCCAUGCCGCGUGUGUGAAGAAGGCUCUAGGGUUGUAAAGCACUUUCAGCGAGGAGGAAAGGUUGACGAUUAAUACUCGUUAGCUGUGACGUUACUCGCAGAAGAAGCACCGGCUAACUCCGUGCCAGCAGCCGCGGUAAUAAGGGCGA